GUGGUACGCCGCUCCGUUGUGCCGUGCGAAAGGACACGGAGUGGCCGUGCGAGUGACUAGCGCCCCUGUCGGGGCCGCGGAUCACGAGCUGUCUGGCGUCCGAGAGGUGCGAACUCUCGGACGCCGAUG
rfam:Streptomyces tsukubensis strain F601 Scaffold31_1, whole genome shotgun sequence.